AUUGAACGCUGGCGGCAGGCUUAACACAUGCAAGUCGAACGAGAGGCGGACGGGUGAGUAAUACUGGGGAAUGUAGCUUAUGGAGGGAGAUAACUACGGGAAACUGUGGCUAAUACCGCUUCCCAUAGGAUGGGCCCAAGUUGGAUUAGGUAGUUGGGGGGGUAAAGGCUCACCAAGCCUACGAUACCUAGCUGGUCUGAGAGGAUGACCAGCCACACUGGGCCUGAGCCACGGCCCAGACUCCUCCGGGAGGCAGCAGUGGGGAAUAUUGGGCAAUGGGGGCAACCUGACCCAGCCAUGCCGCGUGAAUGAAGAAGGCCUUCGGGUUGUAAAGUUCUUUUGGUAGAGAGGCGUUAUCUACAGAAGAAGCACCGGCUAACUACGUGCCAGCAGCCGCGGUAAUUC
rnacentral:rRNA from 1 species